CCCUGGUUAGCUCAGUUGCUAGAGCGCUCCACUUGUAAUGGAGAGGUCCCGGGUUCGAUACCCGGACCAGGCG
rnacentral:tRNA from 2 species